rnacentral:rRNA from 1 species
AUUGAACGCUGGCGGCAUGCCUUACACAUGCAAGUCGAACGGCAGCACGGGUGCUUGCACCUGGUGGCGAGUGGCGAACGGGUGAGUAAUACAUCGGAACGUACCUUAUCGUGGGGGAUAACGCAGCGAAAGCUGUGCUAAUACCGCAUACGCCCUGAGGGGGAAAGCGGGGGAUCGCAAGACCUCGCGCGAUUAGAGCGGCCGAUGCCUGAUUAGCUUGUUGGUGGGGUAAAAGCCCACCAAGGCGACGAUCAGUAGCUGGUCUGAGAGGACGAUCAGCCACACUGGGACUGAGAGCCGUGCCAGACUCCUACGGGAGGCAGCAGUGGGGAAUUUUGGACAAUGGGGGCAACCAUGAUCCAGCAAUGCCGCGUGAGUGAAGAAGGCCUUCGGGUUGUAAAGCUCUUUUGUCGGGGAAGAAACACCGGCUCUAACACAGUCCGGGAAUGACGGUACCUGAAGAAUAAGCACCGGCUAACUACGUGCCAGCCGCCGCGGUAA